CCUACGGGAGGCAGCAGUGAGGAAUAUUGGUCAAUGGGCGCAAGCCUGAACCAGCCAAGUCGCGUGAGGGAAGGCGGCCCUACGGGUUGUAAACCUCUUUUGCCGGGGAGCAAGCCUGAGCACGUGUGCCCAGGCGGAGAGUACCCGGAGAAAAAGCAUCGGCUAACUCCGUGCCAGCAGCCGCGGUAAUACGGAGGAUGCGAGCGUUAUCCGGAUUUAUGGGGUUUAAAGGGUGAGCAGGCCGCAUGUCAAGCGUGCUGUGAAAUGUCCGGGCUCAACCGGGGCCGUGCAGCGCGAACUGGCGUGCUUGAGUGCGCGGAAAGCAGGAGGAAUGUGUCGUGUAGCGGUGAAAUGCUUAGAUAUGACGCAGAACCCCGAUUGCGAAGGCAGCUUGCGGCAGCGGAACUGACGCUGAUGCUCGAAAGCGCGGGUAUCGAACAGGAUUAGAUACCCUUGUAGUC
rnacentral:rRNA from 1 species